rnacentral:tmRNA from 1 species
GGGGGCGUACUGGUUUCGACGGGGGAGAAGAUGGGUUGAGUAGCGAGCCGAGUUGUCGCCAGCUCGUAAAAAAGGUGAAAAAACAAUU